GUCUGGAGAUAUAACUCAGUGGUAGACUGCUUGCCUACCAUGUACCAGGCCCUGGGUUCAAUCACCAGUACCACAAAAAAGAAAGAAAUUAUAGGUC
rnacentral:miRNA from 1 species